rnacentral:rRNA from 1 species
AUUGAACGCUGGCGGCAUGCUUUACACAUGCAAGUCGAACGGUAACAGCACUUCGGUGGCUGACGAGUGGCGAACGGGUGAGUAAUACAUCGGAACGUGCCUAGUAGUGGGGGAUAACUACUCGAAAGAGUAGCUAAUACCGCAUGAGAUCUAAGGAUGACAGCAGGGGACCUUCGGGCCUUGCGCUACUAGAGCGGCUGAUGGCAGAUUAGGUAGUUGGUGGGAUGAAAGCUUACCAAGCCGACGAUCUGUAUCUGGUCUGAGAGGACGACCAGCCACACUGGAACUGAGACACGGACCAGACUCCUACGGGAGGCAGCAGUGGGGAAUGUUGGACAGUGGGCGCAAGCCUGAUCCAGCAAUGCCGCGUGCAGGAUGAAGGCCUUCGGGUUGUAAACUGCUUUUGUACGGAACGAAAAGCUCUCUGCUAAUACAGGAGGGUCAUGACGGUACCGUAAGAAUAAGCACCGGCUAACUACGUG